AUACGGAGGGGGUUAGCGUUGUUCGGAAUUACUGGGCGUAAAGCGCACGUAGGCGGACUGGAAAGUUGGGGGUGAAAUCCCGGGGCUCAACCCCGGAACUGCCUCCAAAACUUCCAAUCUAGAGAUCGAGAGAGGUGAGUGGGAUUCCAAGUGUAGAGGUGAAAUUCGUAGAUAUUUGGAGGAACACCAGUGGCGAAGGCGGCUCACUGGCUCGAUACUGACGCUGAGGUGCGAAAGCGUGGGGAGCAAACAGGAUUAGAAACCCCAGUAGUCC
rnacentral:rRNA from 1 species